rnacentral:rRNA from 1 species
CCUUACCAGGUCUUGACAUCCUUUGAAGCUUUUAGAGAUAGAAGUGUUCUCUUCGGAGACAAAGUGACAGGUGGUGCAUGGUGGUCGUCAGCUCGUGUCGUGAGAUGUUGGGUUAAGUCCCGCAACGAGCGCAACCCUUAUUGUUAGUUCCCAGCAUUCAGAUGGGCACUCUAGCGAGACUGCCGGUGACAAACCGGAGGAAGGCGGGGACGACGUCAGAUCAUCAUGCCCCUUAUGACCUGGGCUACACACGUGCUACAAUGGCGUAUACAACGAGUUGCCAACCCGCGAGGGUGAGCUAAUCUCUUAAAGUACGUCUCAGUUCGGAUUGUAGUCUGCAACUCGACUACAUGAAGUCGGAAUCGCUAGUAAUCGCGGAUCAGCACGCCGCGGUGAAUACGUUCCCGGGUCUUGUACACAC